rnacentral:rRNA from 1 species
CUCGCCGGAAGACCAAGGGUUCCUGUCCAACGUUAAUCGGGGCAGGGUGAGUCGACCCCUAAGGCGAGGCCGAAAGGCGUAGUCGAUGGGAAACGGGUUAAUAUUCCCGUACUUGGUGUUACUGCGAAGGGGGGACGGAGAAGGCUAUGUUGGCCGGGCGACGGUUGUCCCGGUUUAAGCGUGUAGGUGUGUGUUCCAGGUAAAUCCGGUUCACUUUAACACUGAGGCGUGAUGACGAGGCACUACGGUGCUGAAGCAACAAAUGCCCUGCUUCCAGGAAAAGCCUCUAAGCAUCAGGUAACAUCAAAUCGUACCCCAAACCGACACAGGUGGUCAGGUAGAGAAUACCAAGGCGCUUGAGAGAACUCGGGUGAAGGAACUAGGCAAAAUGGUGCCGUAACUUCGGGAGAAGGCACGCUGACAC